rnacentral:guide_RNA from 1 species
GGAAUUUAACCCUCCGUAUAU